UUCUCUCUUCCCACAGGAUAUGAGUAACUCUUGUUGAAAUUAAGAGGGAGUUAUUCAUAUCUUGUGGUAGGAGAACA
ensembl:miRNA aca-mir-5470 aca-mir-5470